CCUUGGCGGACUACGCGUUAGCACUCCGCCUGGGGACUACGGUCGCAAGACUAAAACUCAAAGGAAUUGACGGGGACCCGCACAAGCGGUGGAGCAUGUGGUUUAAUUCGAUGCAACGCGAAAAACCUUACCACUCCUUGACAUGGAGAUUAGAUCCUUCUUAACGGAAGGGCGCAGUUCGGCUGGAUCUCGCACAGGUGCUGCAUGGCUGUCGUCAGCUCGUGUCGUGAGAUGUUGGGUUAAGUCCCGCAACGAGCGUAACCCUCAUCCUUAGUUGCCAGCGGGUAAUGCCGGGCACUUUAAGGAAACUGCCGGUGGUAAACUGGAGGAAGGUGGGGAUGAUGUCAAGUCAGCACGGCCCUUAUGGGGUGGGCUACACACGUGCUACAAUGGUGACUACAAUAGGUUGCAAUGUCGCAAGGCUGAGCUAAUCCGUAAAAGUCAUCUCAGUUCGGAUUGUCCUCUGCAACUCGAGGGCAUGAAGUCGGAAUCGCUAGUAAUCGUGGAUCAGCAUGCCACGGUGAAUACGUUCUCGGGUCUUGUACACACUGCCCGUCACGCCAUGGGAAUUGGCUUAACUCGAAGCUGGUGCGCUAACCGAAAGGAAGCAGCCAUUAAAA
rnacentral:rRNA from 1 species